rnacentral:lncRNA from 1 species
GUGGAUUUGUGCAUUUGAGCCCAGGUCUGCAUCAGUGGCAUGGAGCUGAGAAACAGAGGUGCCCACUGGAGCAUUUUCUGGAAUACUAACUUCAAUGUCAUUCUCUUUAAAGACUGGGCGAUUAUCAUUCACAUCAGUCACUGUGACUUGCAGGAUUGCAGUGCUAGAUCUUGGAGGACUUCCACCAUCUUCAACUUUAAUUUUCAUCACAUAGGUAUCCUUCUGCUCUCUAUCCAAGUUCUGCUGGACGAUCAGUUGAGGCCACUUAUCUCCCUCAGGUGUCUCAAUUAUAUCAAGACCAAAUACAUUCUGACCCUGAUCAUUCGUAAUUGAUCCAAAUGUCCUUUUCGGAGCUGUUUUGGGCUUAAGGAGUUCAUAAUGUUGAAUACCAUUCACACCAAUGUCUGGAUCAAUGGCAGAUGGAACAGAAUAGCGAGAAUUAAUCGCUGUGUUUUCAGGGAUAGAGAUGUUAAUAACUGUAGAGGGGAAGAGGGGGGCAUUGUCAUUUAUAUCCUCUAUUAGGAAUCUGAUCUUGACCAGUCUGAAAACUUCAUCAGGCAAAACGGCAACCUCCACCUCAUAAAAGCAGCGAUUCUCACUAAAGAUGCCAGAGCACAGCUUCUCUCGGUCUAUGCGGUUUGCAGUUGUAAAUAUCUCACCAGUGUUCUCCUCCACUCGUACUAGUGGUACAUCCCCAGUCUUAUAUACAAGCUUGAACUGUAGUGGCGAGGAAAGGGGGACAUCUGGAUCCAGCGUUAAAUUAAGAUCCUUGAGCAAAUUGCCAAUGAGGACAUUUUCAGGCAGUUCUUCCCGCACUGUAUAGUUCUUCUCCUGUGCUC